CGGGGCAUAGCGUAGUCCGGUUAGCGCGCUCGGUUUGGGACCGAGAGGUCGCAGGUUCGAAUCCUGCUGCCCCGACCA
rnacentral:tRNA from 1 species